AUGAAGUGUAGCAUACCCGUUGUGGAAUCACUCUGAUGAAUAUUUGUUAUUUAAUUGCUUUUGGGUAACGGGGUGUUACAUGGA
rnacentral:pre_miRNA from 1 species